rnacentral:rRNA from 1 species
GACAGAGGUGCCGAGCGUUAGGCGGAAUCACUGGGCUUAAAGCGUGUGUAGGCGGACCGUUAAGUGUCUUGUGAAAUCCCACGGCUCAACCGUGGAACGGCUGGGCAUACUGGCGGUCUUGAGAGGCCUAGGGGCGAGCGGAACAGGCGGUGGAGCGGUGAAAUGCGUAGAUAUCGCCUGGAACGCCGACGGUGAAAACAGCUCGCUGGGGGCCUUCUGACGCUGAGACACGAAAGCCAGGGGAG